CGAUUCACCACCCUUGAAUCAAAUCCUUAAAGAUCAAGUCACAAACUGGAAGAAGAGCCCAUCAAUCUUGAAGAUCAUACCGCUGACCAAACUGCUCAGGUGUGAAUUAGAAAGAUUGAACAAAGCAACAAGCCGUCACCUUCACCUCGUACCUGCUUGCAAUAUGUUCGAGUCAACCUUCAAGAAUCAAGCCUCGACGGCCCUUGAAGAAGUUUCCAGCCAAAUUCAAGAUUAAGCCUCGACGGCCAUCGAGGAAAUCACAAGUCCGAUUCAAGAUCAAGUGUCUACCACCCUUGAAUCAAAACCUAGUUCAAGAAUAA
rnacentral:lncRNA from 1 species